rnacentral:rRNA from 1 species
GGAUCCAGACCUUGAUUAUGGCUCAGGACGAACGCUGGCGGCGUGCCUAACACAUGCAAGUCGAACGGAACUUUUUUAAUUGACUUCUUCGGAAUGAUUUUGAUUAAGUUUAGUGGCGGACGGGUGAGUAACGCGUGAGUAACCUGCCUCUAAGAGGGGAAUAACAUUCUGAAAGGAAUGCUAAUACCGCAUAAUAUAUAUUUAUCGCAUGGUAGAUAUAUCAAAGAUUUAUCGCUUAGAGAUGGACUCGCGUCCGAUUAGUUAGUUGGUGAGGUAACGGCUCACCAAGACCGCGAUCGGUAGCCGGACUGAGAGGUUGAACGGCCACAUUGGGACUGAGACACGGCCCAGACUCCUACGGGAGGCAGCAGUGGGGGAUAUUGCGCAAUGGGGGAAACCCUGACGCAGCAACGCCGCGUGAAGGAUGAAGGUCUUCGGAUUGUAAACUUCUUUUAUUAAGGACGAAGAAAGUGACGGUACUUAAUGAAUAAGCUCCGGCUAACUAGGUGCCAGCAGCCGCGGUAAUACGUAGGGAGCAAGCGUUGUCCGGAUUUACUGGGUGUAAAGGGUGCGUAGGCGGCUUUGCAAGUCAGAUGUGAAAUCCAUGGGCUCAACCCAUAGCCUGCAUUUGAAACUGCAGAGCUUGAGUGAAGUAGAGGCAGGCGGAAUUCCCCGUGUAGCGGUGAAAUGCGUAGAGAUGGGGGGGAACACCAGUGGCGAAGGCGGCCUGCUGGGCUUUAACUGACGCUGAGGCACGAAAGCGUGGGUAGCAAACAGGAUUAGAUACCCUGGUAGUCCACGCUGUAAACGAUGAUUACUAGGUGUGGGGGGUCUGACCCCUUCCGUGCCGGAGUUAACACAAUAAGUAAUCCACCUGGGGAGUACGGCCGCAAGGUUGCAACUCAAAGGAAUUGACGG